GACGUAGGGGGCCAGCGUUGUUCGGAAUUACUGGGUGUAAAGGGUUCGUAGGCGGUGCGGCAAGUUGGGAGUGAAAUCUCUGGGCUUAACCCAGAGGCUGCUUCCAAAACUGCUGUGCUUGAGUGUGGGAGAGGCGCGUGGAAUUGCAGGUGUAGCGGUGAAAUGCGUAGAUAUCUGGAGGAACACCGGUGGCGAAGGCGGCAUCCUGGACCAACACUGACGCUGAGUGAGCGAAAGCCAGGGGAGCAAACGGG
rnacentral:rRNA from 1 species